UGUUGAGACAGUAGGUCACGGGGUGUCCCUGCAAGGACAGACAUGGCCCUGUCCCCUUCCUCCCUCUCCCUGCCCUGAGGUGAGCAGUCUUGCUACUGGCCUCCUGCAGAACCCCUGCCUCGCUGCAGGCCCCCAGCAACGGGGCCCAGCCACCAGGACUGGGGCCCCGGGAACUGUGAGCCCAGACCCUUUCUCCUCUGUCUCCAUGUCUCAGGCAUUUUGUCACAGAGACGCCCUGGCUGUGUGCACGGGUGCUGGCAGGAGGCUCGGGGCCCCGUCCAGGUGACGCACCACCUGCCCGCAGUGCUACGCUUUCCGUCCUUUCUUUCCUUUGCCUCAGUGUUUUCUCACUCAGUCCCUCUGUGGAUAAUUUUUAAAUCUUUAUUUGUAUUUCACGACUGCUUCCCCUGCUGGAGGCAGCUGCACGCGGCUCACCGUCCACCCAGCGCAGAGCUGACGUAGAUGAUCCGACACACAUGGCAGCCAGGGACAGACUCGCUGCGGCCAGGUGAGUGCUCGUGCCAACUCCUCCGGGAGCCCAGGAGGACGUGCAUUUCUGAGUGUAACUGAAGUGGGAAUGAGUAGGUGGCCACAGGGUCCCCAACCGAGGGCGAUAUGCAACUGCUCUGAAGCAGGAUGUGUCUGCAGUACCACGGGGCGGGAGGCGAGGCCACGCCCACGGUCCAGAGGCAAGCCUAGGGUGAAAGCCGCCGGGCUGCGGGGUGAAGCCCGGCCGCUGGCCCUGCCCGGGUCCCAGCCACCCUGCGGGACGGCCUUCCCAGUGCACCCCCGUCCGAGCCGGGCUUCUCCAGCCCUCCUCCCGACAGUGGCAGGCUGCACCUUUUCAAAGGAAAACCUGACCUGACUGCUUUCGAGCCUUCUUCCUACUUCAGGGUUUUUCAGAAAAAUGAUGGAAGACUUUGACAAAAUUAUAUGCCACUGUACCAAAAAACCAAGGAUAAAGCAAAGGCAAAGAAUCCACCGGGAGCCGCUUCUGGAGACGGAACACCAGUUUUGGGCGCAAGCUCGGCGGGCUUGAGCCCUCGGCUCCACUGGCUGGGAUGAGCAGCUAAGGAAGCAAGCGCGCCCCAUGUCAUCAGCCGAUGACUGAUGCCCAGAAGGAGACCCUGCAUCCCCAGGAAAAUGCUGAUAAUGAAAUGUUACAGGAGAACGCCAGCUGAGAGUAAUGCGACCCUUACAGCAGGUCCCGGAGAGUUAAACGGAAUCCGGGAUGGAGACGCUCCUCCUGUGCUGGAAAAUCCCCCGAGAAGCCACCAAGUCCUGCUCUCACUAAACCCGAAGCAAGAAGCGGUCCCUUUACGGUGCCAAGCAAGGAGCUAGCACAGACAGAAAUGCCACUGAAACCCCAUGAUGUCCAGCUGCUGUCCUGGGACAGAGGCCCACAUCCCGAGGCUAAGAAACAAUGGAGAUCAGCCGCCAGCAACUGCACUCUCAGAACCAGCCCCGUGGUGAGAGGCAAGGAGCCCUUCUCAUGGAGACGGCCGCCGUGGACCGGACCUGGCUUCAGCUCCAAAGGAGGAGUUGCUAAUGCCCGAGGAGAAGGCGAAAGGGUUUGGAUCCUUCCUGGGUGAGGAGGGAGCUCUCCCCUGCGCCACCCAGCAGCACGUGCCCUUUGGCUUCAGCCUGCUCUGCAGGGAGGCAGAGCUGCUCAGGAGCCAGUGUCCCCGUGGGCAGUUAGCAUCCUGCGCCAGAGUCAGUCUCUGAUCUGAACCUUACUCAGGAAAGGUAUCAGAAUAACCUCCUUCCUUUCAAAUCUCUGUCCCUCAACCACCAAUUCCCUGAACUCCUUAAGUGACUAGUUCUUGACAUCCCCAGACAGAAAUACUGCUGAGGGCAUUUCAGGGAGCGGAGCAAAACCCUGAGGGUAGUGAUAAGCUUUGGUUCCUUUGGACUGGGGCUGUCGGUGCACUCACUCUGCAAGACCACCUGUCACCCUCUCUUGAACAUCUGCAAAACAGUGAGGACUGAGAGUCUCAUGAAUUUAGACCUUGGAGGCAAUAGUUUUCUUUAAUUCAGUCCUCCCCUGGAGAGAGCAAACUUCUGCUGAUCCCACCUUUAAAAUUGGGCUUUGUGUUACAGAGAGCCUUUACUUUGUGUUUUUAAAGAACUUUCUUUCCUUAAAUUGGAAAAAAAUUAUUGGGGAUUAAGCUCAAUGUUUGAACUUGACAUAAAAUUGUUGCUUUGGGUCCUCUGUUUUUACAGGAGAUGUGAAGGACAUGUUUUAAAACUCAGACGCUCAAA